rnacentral:tRNA from 1 species
GAGGGUAUAGCUCAGUGGCAGAGUGCAUGUUGAGCACGCAUGAGGUCCUGGGUUCAAUCCCCAGUACCUCCU